GUGCUCGCUUCGGCAACACAUAUACUAAAAUUGGAAUGAUACAGAGAAGAUUAGCAUAACCCCUGCGCAAGGAUGACACGCAAAUUUGUGAAGCGUUCCAUAUUAAA
ensembl:snRNA U6 U6 spliceosomal RNA